AGCAAGGGAUACCUUAUAUGGUGGCAGGCGAGAGAGAUUAUGUAGGGAAACUUUCCUUUAUAAACCCAUCAGAUCUCAUCAGACUUAUUCACUAUCACAAGAGCAACAUGGGAAAGACCCAUCCCCGUGAUUCAAUUACCUUCCUUCAGCCUGGGUGACAGAGCGAGGCUCUAUUUCCAAAAAAAAAAAAAAAAAAAAAAAAAAUUACCUGGCUGAAAAAAAAAAAUUAACUCUGAGUUUUAACAGUUAGAAAAACAUAUU
rnacentral:lncRNA from 1 species